rnacentral:rRNA from 1 species
AGAGUUUGAUCCUGGCUCAGGAUGAACGCUGGCGGUAUGCCUAACACAUGCAAGUCGAACGGGACUUUUCGGAGUCCAGUGGCGGACGGGUGAGUAACGCGUGAGAAUCUGGCCUCAGGUUCGGGACAACCACUGGAAACGGUGGCUAAUACCGGAUGUGCCUGUGGGUGAAAGAUUAAUUGCCAGAGGAGGAGCUCGCGCCUGAUUAGCUAGUUGGUGGGGUAAGAGCCUACCAAGGCGACGAUCAGUAGCUGGUCUGAGAGGACGAGCAGCCACACUGGGACUGAGACACGGCCCAGACUCCUACGGGAGGCAGCAGUGGGGAAUUUUCCGCAAUGGGCGAAAGCCUGACGGAGCAAUACCGCGUGAGGGAGGAAGGCCCUUGGGUUGUAAACCUCUUUUCUCAGGGAAGAAGUUUUGACGGUACCUGAGGAAUCAGCAUCGGCUAACUCCGUGCCAGCAGCCGCGGUAAUACGGAGGAUGCAAGCGUUAUCCGGAAUGAUUGGGCGUAAAGCGUCCGUAGGUGGCUGGUUCAAGUCGGCUGUCAAAGACUGGGGCUUAACCCUAGAAAGGCAGUGGAAACUGAACAGCUAGAGUGCGGUAGGGGCAGAGGGAAUUCCUGGUGUAGCGGUGAAAUGCGUAGAGCUCAGGAAGAACACCGGUGGCGAAAGCGCUCUGCUGGACCGCAACUGACACUCACAGGACGAAAGCUAGGGGAGCGAAUGGGAUUAGAUACCCCAGUAGUCCUAGCCGUAAACGAUGGAUACUAGACGUGGCUCGCAUCGACCCGAGCCGUGUCGUAGCUAACGCGUUAAGUAUCCCGCCUGGGGAGUACGCGCGCAAGCGUGAAACUCAAAGGAAUUGACGGGGGCCCGCACAAGCGGUGGAGUAUGUGGUUUAAUUCGAUGCAACGCGAAGAACCUUACCAGGGCUUGACAUGUCCGGAACCUUUUGGAAACAAAAGGGUGCCUACGGGGGCCGGAACACGGGUGGUGCAUGGCUGUCAUCAGCUCGUGUCGUGAGAUGUUGGGUUAAGCCCCGCAACGAGCGCAACCCUCGUGCUUAGUUGCCAGCGGAAGUAUUGCCGGGCACUCUAAGCAGACUGCCGGUGAUAAACCGGAGGAAGGUGGGGAUGACGUCAAGUCAUCAUGCCCCUUACGUCCUGGGCUACACACGUACUACAAUGCGACGGACAAAGGGAAGCAAAACAGCGAUGUCAAGCAAAUCUCAUAAACCGUGGCGUAGUUCAGAUCGCAGGCUGCAACUCGCCUGCGUGAAGGUGGAAUCGCUAGUAAUCCCAGAUCAGCACGCUGGGGUGAAUACGUUCCCGGGCCUUGUACACACCGCCCGUCACACCAUGGGAGCUGGUUUUGCCCGAAGUCGUUACUCCAACCUGAAAAGGAGGGGGACGCCGAAGGCAGGGCUGGUGACUGGGGUGAAGUCGUAACAAGGUAGCCGUACCGGAAGGUGUGGCUGGAUCACCUCCUU